rnacentral:pre_miRNA from 1 species
ACACAAAUCACCUGGGGAUCUUGUUAAAAUGUGGAUUCAAUUCAAUAUGUCCCGGAUGGGUCCAAGAUUUUGCAUUUCUAGCAAGCUCCCAGGUGAUGCUAUG